rnacentral:rRNA from 1 species
GAUCAGGUAGGGAUACCCGCUGAACUUAAGCAUAUCAAUA